GGGAGGUUUCGGGAUUCCUGGGUUUAAGGGUGCGUAGGCGGGUUGGUAAGUCCGUGGUGAAAUCUCCAAGCUUAACUUGGAAACUGCCGUGGAUACUAUCAAUCUUGAAUAUAGUGGAGGUGAGCGGAAUAUGUCAUGUAGCGGUGAAAUGCUUAGAUAUGACAUAGAACACCCAUUGCGAAGGCAGCUCGCUACACUAUUAUUGACGCUGAGGCACGAAAGCGUGGGGAUCAAACAGGAUUAGAUACCCUGGUAGUCCACGCCCUAAACGAUGAUUACUCGACAUCAGCGAUACACUGUUGGUGUCUGAGCGAAAGCAUUAAGUAAUCCACCUGGGAAGUACGACCGCAAGGUUGAAACUCAAAGGAAUUGACGGGGGCCCGCACAAGCAGUGGAGUAUGUGGUUUAAUUCGAAGCAACGCGAAGAAUCUUACCAGGUCUUGACAUCCCUUGACGUUUGUAGAGAUACAAAUUUCCUUCGGGACAAGGAGACAGGUGGUGCAUGGUUGUCGUCAGCUCGUGUCGUGAGAUGUUGGGUUAAGUCCCGCAACGAGCGCAACCCCUAUUGUUAGUUGCCAGCACGUAAAGGUGGGAACUCUAGCAAGACUGCCGGCGACAAGUCGGAGGAAGGUGGGGACGACGUCAAAUCAUCAUGCCCCUUAUGACCUGGGCUACACACGUACUACAAUGGUCAUUACAGUGGGACGCGAAGCGGUAACGUGGAGCAAAUCCCCAAAGAUGACCCCAGUUCGGAUUGUGGGCUGAAACUCGCCCACAUGAAGUCGGAAUUGCUAGUAAUGGCAGGUCAGCAUACUGCCGUGAAUACGUUCCCGGGCCUUGUACACACCGCCCGUCACACCAUGAGAGUUGGUAACACCCGAAGUCAGUAGUCUAACCGCAAGGAGGGCGCUGCCGAAAGUGGGAUCGAUGAUUGGGGUGAAGUCGUAACAAGGUAAC
rnacentral:rRNA from 1 species